rnacentral:rRNA from 1 species
UACAGAGGAUGCAAGCGUUAUCCGGAAUGAUUGGGCGUAAAGCGUCUGUAGGUGGCUUUUUAAGUCCGCCGUCAAAUCCCAGGGCUCAACUCUGGACAGGCGGUGGAAACUACCAAGCUGGAGUACGGUAGGGGCAGAGGGAAUUUCCGGUGGAGCGGUGAAAUGCGUAGAGAUCGGAAAGAACACCAACGGCGAAAACAACUCGCUGGGGAAGUGCUGACGCUGAGACACGAAAGCCAGGGGAGCGAACGGG